AUUGAACGCUGGCGGCAGGCCUAACACAUGCAAGUCGAACGGUAACAGGAAACAGCUUGCUGUUUCGCUGACGAGUGGCGGACGGGUGAGUAAUGUCUGGGAAACUGCCUGAUGGAGGGGGAUAACUACUGGAAACGGUAGCUAAUACCGCAUAACGUCGCAAGCCCAAAGAGGGGGACCUUCGGGCCUCUUGCCAUCGGAUGUGCCCGGAUGGGAUUAGCUAGUAGGUGGGGUAACGGCUCACCUAGGCGACGAUCCCUAGCUGGUCUGAGAGGAUGACCAGCCACACUGGAACUGAGACACGGUCCAGACUCCUACGGGAGGCAGCAGUGGGGAAUAUUGCACAAUGGGCGCAAGCCUGAUGCAGCCAUGCCGCGUGUAUGAAGAAGGCCUUCGGGUUGUAAAGUACUUUCAGCGGGGAGGAAGGGAGUAAAGUUAAUACCUUUGGUCAUUGACGUUACCCGCAGAAGAAGCACCGGCUAACUCCGUG
rnacentral:rRNA from 1 species